AGCGCGGCCGGCGCCGUCAAGCAAGGCGGCUGGUCAGGCGAGGAUGGCCGCAAAACAGGGGCUGCGAAUGAGGAGAGCGCCCCGCGCAGGGGCGGCCGCAGGAAGGCGGCCAGGGCAGAAGGCGGCCACAUGGCCAGGAGGCACAGCACCGCCGGUCCGGGUGAGUCGACCAACAGAGGGGCCACUGUCAGUCAGAGGGGUGAUGGUGCUGCUGGCUCCUCGGCACAGGCGGUCCCCCAGAUGGCAGGGGGUGACCUGGACAGCGGGAGGACACAAGGGGCAGCCAAGAGUGGGGCCAGGGACAAGUGCAGCAAUGGAAUGAGGGGGGAGGAGCGCAGCAGGGUCAGCCAGAGCCAACAGGGAGCAACAGGAGGCAUGGAAUGCAUGAGUGGCCAGGCAGCAGAGGUCAGCGCGGGGCCAAGCAGGGCGGCUACCGGAAAGCCAGGCAUGGAGGUCAGCGGAGAGUUACAGGGGCCACCACGAGCCGGGGGUUUCAGAGAAGCGCGGGCAGCUCCCAGGGGCAGCAAGCCAGUGGUGAUGGUGCAUGGAGGGGACGUAGGGAAGAGCGGCGCAGGGCUAGCGCCAGGCGCAGCAGCGACAGGAGCAUGACAAGGAGACUGGGGAGCCGAUCACGCUACGGGUGCAGCGAGUCUAGGUCCAGUUGCAGAGAGGAGAGGAGGAGGUCCGGGUCCGAAGAAAGUAGGAAGUAUAGUCGGCGCAGCGCAUCAGGUUCCUCUGAACGAAGUUGCCACGAGCGGUGGAGCAGAGCAGACAGCAGGGACAGUCGGACGGCAGGGAGGAGAGGAGCUCAGGGAGAAGGUGAAGAGCAUAGGGAGGAAGGGCGGGCAGGGAGCUUAUCCGACAGACUGCCCAGGUUAUCUUCUCCUUACAGGUCGCGGAGUAAUACACCGGCGGUCACGUGGCGGGAUCAGGCAGGCAGGAGUCGGCGGCGACUGAAUGCUCCGGGGCCUGGCAAGGCGGACGUAAGGACAGCAACCCUGCGGCCUGAAGCGGCCGGGGACAACAGCGAUGAGUCCACAACUGCACCACAGUCAGGAACAUUCAUAGGCUGCUUGAAAUAGUUUCUGGAAUCAUGGUCGGGGGAGGGGGAUUCACUUCAGUUCGGAAGGGUAUGGGCGUCAGGGGGUGACCGGGGGGCAGAAGCCAGGAGAUUGGAGCCGUUAGCAUGGAGAGCUAGUGGCGGGGAGUCGGGAAAUGCUUCUAUGUCUGUGGAGACGCCGGAGAGGGUAAGGGAGCAAACCGUGGGAUAUGGUGACAUCUCAGAGGCAGCAAGACAAAAUGUGCACGUGUCUUUCGCGGGGCCACUGGGUUGUCACUUGAAGGUUGAGGUAAAGGAGAAACUCUGGAAAAGAUCUGGCAGGAAGACAGCCGCAGUUAGAAGAAAUGGAACACAGCUGGGCUUUCCGCAGGACCGGGUGGCGAUAUCAUGGUUUGGUUUUCGGGGGUUUAGUUGGCAGUGUUUAAGUAACGUGUUGUUUAGAAUGGUGUCGGGGGGUCCGUGCCGGAUGUAGUAGUGGUUCACGGCGGCGGGAAUGAUUUAGGGCUUAUCCCACAAAGAGAACUGGUAAGGAGGAUGAAGAGGGACAUGGAUCGGCUCAUGGGGCUGGUUCCUGGCGUGGUGGUAGUAUGGUCAGAAAUGGUGCCCCGUUUCAUGUGGCGACAUGCCAGGGAUCCAGUUGCAGUGGCCCGAUGCAGGAGUAAAGUUAAUAGGACCAUGGCGGUUUUUAUUAGGCGUUUGGGCGGCGUCGUGGUGCGACACCGGGAGUUAGAGGGCAUGUUGCCUGGUUACUUUAGGAGUGAUGGUGUACACCUGUCGGAUGUGGGGACCGAUUUACUUAAUCUGGGUUUUCAGGAAGGCAUUAGUCAGGCCCUGUUUUUGUGUGGUGGGGGUGGCACAUGUCCUUAAGGCAUCAAGUCAUGUGCUAUAGCGGAACAGGGCGUGGUAAAGUCGGAAGUUGGAUGGAAUUGAUAAUGGACAGGCCAAGGCCUAGGCUGGAGUAGGCCAGAUGGAAGUGAGUGUUGGUAGGUUCAAGCUCUUCGGUGGCUACGAACCUAGGGGUAGGGGUGUCUGGGUACACCCCUACAGUUAACAGUUUGGAUAUGGGGCCUCUUUG